GCCAUGGUGGCUUAGUGGUUAGCAUGUUUGCCUCGCACCUCCAGGGUUGUGGGUUUAAAUCCCGUCUCUGUCU